UAAAAUUUAAUUUAAUUUCUAAUUAUUAAUAAAAUAUCUUACCAGAAUGCUAGCCACUCUUUCUAAAACUAUGACCAGUGCCUUAUUUAAAUAUUGAAUUAUAUUUCUAGUCUAGGAGUUUCAAUCAAUUUUGUUGUAUACAAAGGCCAUGAUAAUGAUUAUAGGAAUAUGCCAGAUGUCUGUUUCAGCAUCUGAGUAAAUAAAUUAAUGAAACUCCUAUGACUCUAAGUUAGGGUAAUGUCAUCUUUCAUAUCUGUAUUUAAAAAAAAAACAAAAAACAAAAAAAACUGGACAUACAUUCCUCAUAAUCAGUUCCCAUCCUGUUUGUCAUUUAAAUAUUUUGGACAUUCCUUUUACAUUCCAGCCAAGAUUUUGCAGCAGACAGUAGAAAAUGGCAGUUUGAACUUCAGAUCAUUGUGUCAACCGUCUCGUGCAAACCACAAAACCAGGCAGUUUAAUCAAGAUCCACCUAAGAAUGAAAAAUACUAUAAGCUGAACAGAAAUGAUUGGAAAAUAGUCGAUGCCAACGCAGAGGCUCUUGUUCUCAUAUGAGCCAUAGUUGUCUAUUGACUGAAGGUGGUGGAGAUAAUUCAACAAGAUGAUUUACAAUGUAAUUCAAGAGAUCUGUCUAGGUUAGUUCAUUAUUUUUCUUGAAGAUUUCUAUGAUCAAGUCUAGAUUUUCUAGAUCUAGCAUCAUAUACAAUAAUUUCUUGAGAUCUAGUGCUAAGUCCUAUACAUAUGGGAUCUAGAUCUAAUCAAGAUCUAUCUAAAAUCAGAAUAAAAAAUAUGGAAUGUCACACUAGAUUUAGAAUAGAAUAGCAAAGUUUUACCAAUAUCUAGAUUUUUAGUCCAGUAAAUCAACUUAUAUAGAUCAAGAUAUAAAUUAAAUUCACCUUUAUCUAUCCCUUAGUCUGUUGGACUGUUAAGGCACCACACAAGGUUUGUCGACCAUUCUUUUCCUCACCGUCUUUUGAAUGACUAAUUCCUGAGAAUAGUAAACCGUUAUUGUUAAAGAAUAUACAGCCAAGAUUUUGCAGCAGACAGUAGAAAAUGGCAGUUUGAACUUCAGAUCAUUGUGUCAACCGUCUCGUGCAAACCACAAAACCAGGCAGUUUAAUCAAGAUCCACCUAAGAAUGAAAAAUACUAUAAGCCAAGAUUUUGCAGCAGACAGUAGAAAAUGGCAGUUUGAACUUCAGAUCAUUGUGUCAACCGUCUCGUGCAAACCACAAAACCAGGCAGUUUAAUCAAGAUCCACCUAAGAAUGAAAAAUACUAUAAGCUGAACAGAAAUGAUUGGAAAAUAGUCGAUGCCAACGCAGAGGCUCUUGUUCUCAUAUGAGCCAUAGUUGUCUAUUGACUGAAGGUGGUGGAGAUAAUUCAACAAGAUGAUUUACAAUGUAAUUCAAGAGAUCUGUCUAGGUUAGUUCAUUAUUUUUCUUGAAGAUUUCUAUGAUCAAGUCUAGAUUUUCUAGAUCUAGCAUCAUAUACAAUAAUUUCUUGAGAUCUAGUGCUAAGUCCUAUACAUAUGGGAUCUAGAUCUAAUCAAGAUCUAUCUAAAAUCAGAAUAAAAAAUAUGGAAUGUCACACUAGAUUUAGAAUAGAAUAGCAAAGUUUUACCAAUAUCUAGAUUUUUAGUCCAGUAAAUCAACUUAUAUAGAUCAAGAUAUAAAUUAAAUUCACCUUUAUCUAUCCCUUAGUCUGUUGGACUGUUAAGGCACCACACAAGGUUUGUCGACCAUUCUUUUCCUCACCGUCUUUUGAAUGACUAAUUCCUGAGAAUAGUAAACCGUUAUUGUUAAAGAAUAUACAGCCAAGAUUUUGCAGCAGACAGUAGAAAAUGGCAGUUUGAACUUCAGAUCAUUGUGUCAACCGUCUCGUGCAAACCACAAAACCAGGCAGUUUAAUCAAGAUCCACCUAAGAAUGAAAAAUACUAUAAGCUGAACAGAAAUGAUUGGAAAAUAGUCGAUGCCAACGCAGAGGCUCUUGUUCUCAUAUGAGCCAUAGUUGUCUAUUGACUGAAGGUGGUGGAGAUAAUUCAACAAGAUGAUUUACAAUGUAAUUCAAGAGAUCUGUCUAGGUUAGUUCAUUAUUUUUCUUGAAGAUUUCUAUGAUCAAGUCUAGAUUUUCUAGAUCUAGCAUCAUAUACAAUAAUUUCUUGAGAUCUAGUGCUAAGUCCUAUACAUAUGGGAUCUAGAUCUAAUCAAGAUCUAUCUAAAAUCAGAAUAAAAAAUAUGGAAUGUCACACUAGAUUUAGAAUAGAAUAGCAAAGUUUUACCAAUAUCUAGAUUUUUAGUCCAGUAAAUCAACUUAUAUAGAUCAAGAUAUAAAUUAAAUUCACCUUUAUCUAUCCCUUAGUCUGUUGGACUGUUAAGGCACCACACAAGGUUUGUCGACCAUUCUUUUCCUCACCGUCUUUUGAAUGACUAAUUCCUGAGAAUAGUAAACCGUUAUUGUUAAAGAAUAUACAGCCAAGAUUUUGCAGCAGACAGUAGAAAAUGGCAGUUUGAACUUCAGAUCAUUGUGUCAACCGUCUCGUGCAAACCACAAAACCAGGCAGUUUAAUCAAGAUCCACCUAAGAAUGAAAAAUACUAUAAGCUGAACAGAAAUGAUUGGAAAAUAGUCGAUGCCAACGCAGAGGUUCUUGUUCUCGUAUGAGCCAUAGUUGUCUAUUGACUGAAGGUGGUGGAGAUAAUUCAACAAGAUGAUUUACAAUGUAAUUCAAGAGA